GUAUUGGGCAAUUAUUGUGAUACUUUUAAAGGAAUGAACAAUAUUGCCCAGAGGCUAUGGUGGAACACACCCGGAAGUCUCGCACAAGAGCACAAAUUGAAACUGCUCUAAAUCUGCGAUCUAAACCUGAAGCGAUCUUGUGCAGCAUCUGUGGAGAAAGGAGGAGCAGUUGACGUUGUGAGCUGUCCAUGUUAGCAACAAGGUUCUGCACAUCAUCUCCCUGAUGCAAGGCGUAGUGGAGCUGAAAGAGAUGACACCUUCUGUGACAGAUUGCCCCAUCACAAGUCCCAGUACAUAGAAAGGCGUUUGGUGAAUUAGAAGCCUGACACAUUCUGAAACCUUGCGGGCACACAGUAAUAACGUCUGCCUGAAUUCAGCUUUAAUUGCGUGAGCUAAACAUCUGAUCAAUUAAUGGAGGUGGAGGUACUGGACAAAGUCAGCACUGGAACUUGAAGCCACAGCCUUCAGAAAGGCCAACACCCAGCUGCAACCGCUGUUCGAUAUUGCUGCAUGUGUUAGCCUAGUUCUUGACAUUUUACCAAUUCUCUUCCACAAUACCAGUGGUGGGAAAAAAAAAGAUUAACAUUUUACUGAUUCAAGUCAUAGACACAGUGGUGACAGCCAUGGGCAAAGUUAUCAGAAACUUGGUGAAUUAGGAACUUCUGCUUUCUCAGGUAUUUAAUUCAAUAUAUUCUCUCGUCACCAAGAAAGAGAAAGAUGGAAAGCACCCCAAUGUUGACUAUUUAAAAGAAAGAAUGAUUAUUUCAAAUACUGGCACAAACUGUUUAACAUUUUGAUAAGAGAAACUAAAGAGGGAGCAGAACAUAAUAUCUCUGUAAGUCAAUGUACAUUGCCUACCUUGGGAUUUCUUGCAUACUUCCCAGUCCUGGCAUCCUUGACGAGACUGAUUUCCAGCAGGUCUG